rnacentral:rRNA from 1 species
GACGAACGCUGGCGGCGUGCCUAAUACAUGCGAGUAGAACGCUGAAGAGAGGAGCUUGCUCUUCUUGGAUGAGUUGCGAACGGGUGAGUAACGCGUAGGUAACCUGCCUUGUAGCGGGGGAUAACUAUUGGAAACGAUAGCUAAUACCGCAUAACAAUGGAUGACACAUGUCAUUUAUUUGAAAGGGGCAAUUGCUCCACUACAAGAUGGACCUGCGUUGUAUUAGCUAGUAGGUGAGGUAAUGGCUCACCUAGGCGACGAUACAUAGCCGACCUGAGAGGGUGAUCGGCCACACUGGGACUGAGACACGGCCCAGACUCCUACGGGAGGCAGCAGUAGGGAAUCUUCGGCAAUGGGGGCAACCCUGACCGAGCAACGCCGCGUGAGUGAAGAAGGUUUUCGGAUCGUAAAGCUCUGUUGUAAGUCAAGAACGGGUGUGAGAGUGGAAAGUUCACACUGUGACGGUAGCUUACCAGAAAGGGACGGCUAACUACGUG